ensembl:lncRNA
CACCCUGACCUCUAACUACUGAUCACCCUGGCCACUGAUCACCCUGGCUACUGAUCACCCUGACCACAGAACUACUGAUCACCCUGACCUCAGAACGACUGAUCAUCCCGGCCGCCGAACUACCGAUCACCCUGGCCUCCGAACUAUUGAUCACCCUGACCUCAGAACUACCUACCAUCCUGACCACAGACCUACCGACCAUCCUGACCUCUGAACUACCGAUCACCCUGGCCCCUGAAAUACCGAUCACCCUGACCAUAGAACUAUUGAUCACCCUGACCACAGAACUACCGAUCAUCCUGACCCGGAAUUACCGAUCACCCGACCCCCGGAACUACCGAUCACCCCGACCUCAGAACUACCGAUCACCCUGACCUCUGAACUACCGAUCACCCUGACCUCUAACUACUGAUCACCCUGGCCACAGAACUAUUGAUCACCCUGGCCACAGAACUACUGAUCACCCUGCCCUCUGAACUACUGAUCACCCUGACCUCUGAACUACUGAUCACACUGGCCACAUAACUAUUGAUCACCCUGACCACAGAACUACUGAUCAUCCUGACCACAGAACUACUGAUCACCCUGGCCAGACUUGACCUCAGAACUACCUAUCAUCCUGACCACAGAACUACCGAUCACCCUGACCUCAGAACUACCUAUCAUCCUGACCACAGAACCACCGAUCACCCCGACCUCAGAACUACCGAUCACCCUGACCUCUAACUACUGAUCACCCUGGCCACAGAACUAUUGAUCACCCUGGCCACAGAACUACUGAUCACCCUGCCCUCUGAACUACUGAUCACCCUGACCUCUAACUACUGAUCACCCUGACCACUGAUCACCCUGACCUCUGAACUACUGAUCACCCUGGCCACAGAACUACUGAUCACCCUGGCCACAGAACUAUUGAUCACCCUGCUCUCUGAACUAUUGAUCACCCUGCUCUCUGAACUACUGAUCACCCUGGCCACUGGUCACCCUGACCUCUGAACUACUGAUCACCCAGGCCACAGAACUAUUGAUCACCCUGCCCCCUGAACUACUGAUCACCCUGCCCUCUGAACUACUGAUCACCCUGCCCUCUGAACUACUGAUCACCCUGCCCUCUGAACUACUGAUCACCCUGCCCUCUGAACUACUGAUCACCCUGGCCACUGAUCACCCUGGGCUACUGAUCACCCUGCCCUCUGAACUACUGAUCACCCUGCCCUCUGAACUACUGAUCACCCUGGCCACUGAUCACCCUGCCCUCUGAACUACUGAUCACCCUGCCCUCUGAACUACUGAUCACCCUGGCCACUGAUCACCCUGCCCUCUGAACUACUGAUCACCCUGCCCUCUGAACUACUGAUCACCCUGGCCACUGAUCACCCUGGCUACUGAUCACCCUGCCCCUGAACUACUGAUCACCCUGGCCACUGAUCACCCUGGCUACUGAUCACCCUGCCCUCUGAACUACUGAUCACCCUGCCCUCUGAACUACUGAUCACCCUGCCCUCUGAACUACUGAUCACCCUGCCCUCUGAACUACUGAUCCUCCCCAUUACAACUUAAAAACUGAACUAAAUAGCUUUUAUUUAAAUGUUUACAAACAAUACCAAAUGUUAACACCUCAUUUAAAACUUAUGGGACAAUUACUCUGUCAGUUAGCAUUUACAAUAUACACGGAGUGCACAAAACAUUAGGAACGCCUGCUCUUUCCUAAACACAGACUGACCAGGUGAAUCCAGGUGAAAGAUAUGAUCCCUUAUUGAUGUCACCUGUUAAAUCCACUUCAAUCAGUGUAGAUGAAGGGGAGGAGACGGGUUAAAGAAUGGCAAUUGAGACAUGGAUUGUGUGUGUCAUUCAGAGGGUGAAUGGACAAGACUAAAUGUUUAAGUGUCUGAACUGUGUAUGGUGGUAGGUGCCAGGUGUACUGGUUUGUGUUAAGAACGGCAACGCUGCUGGGUUUUUCACAUUCAACAGUUUCUCUGUGUGUAUCAAUAAUGAUCCAUCACCCAAAGGACAUCAAGCCAACUUGACACAACUGUGGGAAGCAUUGGAGUCAACAUGGGCCAGUAUCCCUGUGACAACAUGGGCCAGCAUCCCUGUGACAACAUGGGCCAGCAUCCCUGUGACAACAUGGGCCAGCAUCCCUGAUGAACACAUUUGAUAUCUUGUAGAGUCCCUGCCCCGACAAAUUGAGGCUGUUCUGAGGGAAAAAAGGGGUGAAACUAAUGUUUUGUGUAUACAGUAUAUAUAUAUAUAUAUGUGUGAUUAAUAAGUGAUUAAUGAAAACAGAAUAUUUGCAUACAGGAUUUGUUGUCCUAGAUCAUUAAUUAAUUGGAAGAUAGUUUGUCCUAAAAAUCUACUGUUUCAACAUAUAUAGUUAUAGACUACACCUAAUAUACAAUACAAGAGGCAUUUGAAUUUCACUGAAUUCAAUUCUAUUUCCUUUCAUUCAAAUUCAAAUUUCAAUUCUGUAUUCUGUUUACUACUUCAAUUCAAAUUCAAGAAGUAUUCUUAACUCAAGUCUGAAUUGAGCCCAACGCUGACAGACAGACAGACAGUGAUGUUAUCUAUUGAUCAUGUCCACUUUGAGUUGUAGUGAACUGAUGGGGUCUUGACAGACGGGGUCUUGACAGACAGACAGACGGUGAUGUUAUCUAUUGAUCAUGUCCACUCUGAGUCGUAGUGAACUGAUGGGGUUUUGACAGACAGACAGACAGACAGACAGACAGACGGUGAUACAGACAGACAGACGGUGAUGUUAUCUAUUGAUCAUGUCCACUCUGAGUCGUAGUGAACUGAUGGGGUCUUGACAGACAGACAGACAGACAGAGACAGACAGACUGACAGACAGACGGUGAUGUUAUCUAUUGAUCAUGUCCACUCUGAGUCGUAGUGAACUGAUGGGGUCUUGACAGACAGACAGACAGACAGACAGAGACAGACAGACAGACAGACGGUGAUGUUAUCUAUUGAUCAUGUCCACUCUGAGUCGUAGUGAACUGAUGGGGUCUUGACAGAACACAGACAGGUAUUCCACCACCCCAGAGUUCUGUCUCCUCUCGUCCUGCCGUGCUUGCUGCUGCUCCUUCUCCCACCUCUCCUUCUCCCCGUCCAUCUGGGCCAGAACACUCACCUGGACCGACCUCACCGUGGCGGCCAGCAGGAACAGUACCCCCUGUAGGAUGUGACAGACUACUGCACAUAGACUGAGCCCGGCUCCCAGCAGGUCCGGUACCGCUUCACAUAUCACACACACCCCCUCAAGGAGAAGAGGAGACGCCCGGCCAGCGGAGGUGGGGCCAUGGUUUACCAGGUGACAGACGAAGCGGGCAAGGUGCAGUGCGGCGCGCCGCAGUGGGAGCACGGCCAGGUACAGGUGGCACGCUGCUUUGGUGAGGGCGUGGAGGAGGAGCCGCAGCUCCAGGACGGCGUUGCCUGGAGAUAGGAGAUAAAGG